GGACGGGACAGGCGCCGCCGGUGAACUUCUGCUAACACACCACAUGUAACCGGCCACACGCGCGGGACAGGCCCUCACCAUGGACCCUCUUGGUCAGGUCCCUGCUGUGGAUGACAAGAUCACCACGAAAGAGGCAGGUAUUACUGCACACUGUGAGCAGACAGUGAAUCAUCAUUCAGGACUUCAGAGGCAAGUGUGUCCUGUGGGUGGGAACGUACCUGCAAACUCAGGGGGUGGGAUUAGGCCACCGCUUACAGGCUAACUGCCCCGCAGCAGGAUGCUCCCCUCUCCUCUCUCCCUACAGGCCCCGAUCCUGACAUCGCCGUCUACACAAAGUUCAUGAUGAAUCACACCUGCUACGAUGCCAUUCCGACAAGCUCCAAGCUUGUUAUCUUUGACACUACGCUGCAGGUGAAGAAGGCCUUCUUCGCUCUGGUGGCCAAUGGCUUGAGAGCAGCACCACUUUGGGACAACAAGCUGCAGUGUUUCGUAGGAAUGCUGACCAUCACAGACUUUAUUAACAUUCUCCAUCGCUACUACAAGUCCCCCAUGGUACAGAUCUAUGAGCUGGAAGAGCACAAGAUUGAAACAUGGAGAGAAGUGUACCUGCACUACUCCUGCCAUUCACUGAUUAGCAUCACACCAGACUCCAGCUUAUUUGACGCCAUCUACUCGCUAUUGAAAAAUAAGAUCCACCGACUUCCCGUCAUCGACCCCGAAUCUGGAAACGUCCUGCACGUACUGACGCACAAAAGGAUCCUCAAGUUUCUGCAUAUCUUCGGUGCGGCGAUCCCGAAGCCGCGUUUCCUGCAGAAGCGCAUCAAGGAGGUGAAAAUCGGGACGUUUAAGCGCAUCGCCACGGUGAAGGAGACUGAGACGCUGUACGACGCCCUGUCCAUUUUCGUGGAAAGACGGGUGUCCGCGCUGCCCGUGGUAAAUGAAAAAGGGAAGGUGGUGGCCCUCUACUCCAGGUUUGACGUCAUCAACCUUGCUGCGCAGAAGAAUUACAAUAACCUGAACAUGACCAUGCGGGAAGCGGUGCAGAGCAGAGUAUGCUGCGUCGAGGGCGUGCUAAAGUGCUACCCGCACGAGACACUGGAGGUCAUCAUCGACCGCAUUGCCAAAGCUGAGGUUCACCGCCUGGUCCUGGUGGACGAGGACGACGUGGUCAGGGGGAUCAUCUCGCUCUCUGACCUGCUCCAAGCUUUGGUCUUGACGCCGGCAGGUAUUGACGCCCUUUACUCUUAGCAUCUGGAUGGGUGUCCGCCCACACUCACCACAUCACAGCCCCUUUCGCAGCCCAGAUUUCAAGACAAAUGAGCUGUGACAAUUCAAAGAAAGUAUGAAAUGAAUCACGGAUUAAGAAAACAUUUUUUUUAAAUAUACAUCCAUUUAUAACAACAGUGAUUUUUUUCAGUGUUGGAUGUAUGAAAUGUACACACUCCAAAACAAGUGAUAAUUAAUCCUCCGGUCCUAUUUAAUAUGAUACAUUUACCUGUCCAUUGUUUGCCUGAUAAUUUAUUUUUUUGUGUAUUUUGUAUGGGAUAUUUUAUAUUGUUUAGUAUUGUUUAGAUCACUUAAACAUUAUUUAAGUAUCUAUGCUUGGCCGUUCCCUUGACAUUAAUUGACAUAAUCAUAGGCAAAUAAUUGUAAAUAACAGUGCAUUGAUUUACGAUGCAUUGUAAAACACAGGACAGCUGCACUUCUCUGCCAAGUAAUCCCAGUGUUACUUUUGCAGAAUGAGGUAGAGGUUUACAGCAUAUCGAUUUUGUUGGUGUAUUUUAUCUUACAGCGUUUCCUUUCAAACCUCACAUUUGGUUAUGAUGAAUGUGUUUUUUAACCGCAGAAUUUUGCACGUCAGCAACAUUUUAUAUUACAGUGACUGAAGUAAUUGUACUUAAUAAAAACGGAUGUUACAGUUUCAUUACAGUG